rnacentral:rRNA from 1 species
CCUACGGGCGGCAGCAGUGAGGAAUAUUGGUCAAUGGGCGCGAGCCUGAACCAGCCAAGUAGCGUGAAGGAUGACUGCCCUACGGGUUGUAAACUUCUUUUAUAAAGGAAUAAAGUGAGGCACGUGUGCCUUUUUGUAUGUACUUUAUGAAUAAGGAUCGGCUAACUCCGUGCCAGCAGCCGCGGUAAUACUGAGGAUCCGAGCGUUAUCUGGAUUUAUUGGGUUUACAGGUAGCGUAGAGGGGUUGUUACGUCAGUUGUGAAAGUUUGCGGCUCAACCGUAAGAUUGCAAUUGAUACUGGCAGUCGUGAGUACAGUUGAGGUAGGCGGAAUGCGUGGUGUAGCGGUGAAAUGCUGAGAGAUCACGAAGAACGCCGAUUGCGAAGGCAGCUUACUAAACUGCCACUGACAUUGAUGCUCGAAAGUGUGGGUAUCAAACAGGAUUAGAUACCCCUGUAGUC